rnacentral:rRNA from 1 species
AUUGAACGCUGGCGGCAGGCUUAACACAUGCAAGUCGAGCGGAGCGAGGGUGCUUGCACCUUAGCUUAGCGGCGGACGGGUGAGUAAUGCUUAGGAAUCUGCCCAUUAGUGGGGGACAACAUUCCGAAAGGAAUGCUAAUACCGCAUACGCCCUACGGGGGAAAGCAGGGGAUCUUCGGACCUUGCGCUAAUAGCUGAGCCUAAGUCGGAUUAGCUAGUUGGUGGGGUAAAGGCCUACCAAGGCGACGAUCUGUAGCGGGUCUGAGAGGAUGAUCCGCCACACUGGGACUGAGACACGGCCCAGACCCCUACGGGAGGCAGCAGUGGGGAAUAUUGGACAAUGGGCGGAAGCCUGACCCAGCCAUGCCGCGUGUGUGAAGAAGGCCUUUUGGUUGUAAAGCACUUUAAGCGAGGAGGAGGCUACUUAGAUUAAUACUCUGGGAUAGUGGACGUUACUCGCAGAAUAAGCACCGGCUAACUCUGUGCCAGCAGCCGCGGUAACAC